rnacentral:misc_RNA from 1 species
GAUGAAGAACGUAGCGAAAUGCGAUAAGUAAUGUGAAUUGCAGAAUUCAGUGAAUCAUCGAAUCUUUGAACGCACAUUGCGCCCGCCAGUAUUCUGGCGGGCAUGCCUGUCUGAGCGUCAUUUCAACCCUCAUGCCCCUAGGGCGUGGUGUUGGGGAUCGGCCAAAGCCCGCGAGGGACGGCCGGCCCCUAAAUCUAGUGGCGGACCCGUCGUGGCCUCCUCUGCGAAGUAGUGCUAUUCCGCAUCGGAGAGCGAUGAGCCCCUGCCGUUAAACCCCCAACUUUCCAAGGUUGACCUCAGAUCAGGUAGGAAUACCCGCUGAACUUAAGCAUAUCAAUAAGCGGAGGA